AUGGCCGGCACCACCACCAAGCGCCUGCUGGGGCGGUGCACGGCCGAAGAGAGUUCCUCCAAGCCCACGCAGCACAAGUCAGCCAUCGACGGGUUCGGCACGCCGGAGCGAUGCACCACCGAGUAUCCUUUUAUGAAAAGGAAGGCGAAGGAGGCAGAUCAGGAUCAGGAUGAAGAGCAGGAAAAGGAAAAGGAGAUCGAUGGGAUUCUGGCCACGGGAAAACUCCCCAGACGCGCUGAUGUUGUGUCCGUGGCCGCCGCUGACCCUAUGGUGGCGGAGCAGGACAUCUCCAAGGCACCGGUUUCUGAGCCUCGGGCUGAGGCAGGGACCGAGGAGCCUGUUUCUGAGACUCAGGCUGAGGACCAGGAUGUUUAUGAUGAUGACGAUGCCGAUUAUGAUUAUCAAGAUGAGUAUGAUGGUUAUUAUGAUGAGGAUGAGGAUGAGGAUGACUAUGAGUCUGAAUAUGAGGAUGAUGAUGAUUAUGACUGGGAGUCUGAAUUUGCGAAGCACCGGCCAGUGGUCAGGGAGACGCUGUUAAGCUUCCCCGAGGCCGCCAAUCUGGAACCUCCAGAGCUGGACGCCGCGGUGGAGAGGGUCCUCGAGCAAUCAAGCCCGAGUACCAGGACGUUGCCGCCCCAGGCAAGAUUCGUCUGUUGA
rnacentral:rRNA from 1 species